UAGGGAAUUUUGCGCAAUGGGGGAAACCCUGACGCAGCAACACCGCGUGAAUGUUAAGCCCUUCGGGGUGUAAAGUUCUGUCAGUAGGGACGAAUUUUGACUGUACCUACAAAGGAAGCACCGGCUAACUCCGUGCCAGCAGCCGCGGUAAUACGGGGGGUGCAAGCGUUGUCCGGAAUCAUUGGGCGUAAAGCGUUCGUAGGCGGUAUAUCAAGUCUGGUGUUAAAGCCCGGGGCUCAACUCCGGUUCAGCAUCGGAUACUGGUAAACUAGAAUGCGGUAGAGGUAAGGGGAAUUCCUGGUGUAGCGGUGAAAUGCGUAGAUAUCAGGAGGAACACCAGUGGCGAAGGCGGCUUUCUGGACUGUAACUGACGCUGAGGUGCGAAAGCCAGGGGAGCGAACG
rnacentral:rRNA from 1 species